GGUUUUCCGAUCAUUAGGGAAUCGAUCCUUCCAGUUUCUUCUUUCCACCAUCCUUAUCCAAACCGUCUGCUUGAAACCACCAUUUUUUCCAUAGAUUUGGGUUCGAUUUUUGUUUUAACAAACAUCUCAGGUACCGCUGACCCCCUUUUCACUCUUUCAAUUCCGAUUAAUUUUUCGUGCUUUAUAUACUUCUGCCUCCUCCAGCUCCCAAUUUGUUGUUUAUAGAUUUCAUUGCACGAACCAAACCUGAUCGUCGAAGCCCUCCAAACAACCUACUCUAUCGGGUUCUUGCGUAACCCAAUUUGUAACAGAGGAGAUAUUGAAGAUGGGUUCCAAUCAACCGAUUUCGUUUUUGCUUCUAUUCGUCGAGAAACCUGAUUCAAUGUUUAGGAAGACAAAGAAGAAAAUUCUACAUCAUUGCCACCACCGGUCUCAGCCGCCGCCACCAAGAGAACGAUAAACAACCAAAUAUUAGGUCCCGAUUUUGGGUUCAUCAACCAGACCAAGUAUCUUUUGUUUAAGGUUUCCGGUGGAACCCGUGUUUAAGAGAUUAGCUGCAGUUUUCUGCUUCCAGGCCUAAACACUUUUAAUGGCCAGUAGAUUGAUAUCAAAAGCUUUGAAGUUUUAGCAAAAACAAAAUGAUCUUUCUCUUCAAUUGGGCUGUACAAAGAGAUAAAGUGAACAAUGUCACUAAAACACACAUUACAACUACUUUUACAGAUUCUUCCUAUGGAAAGGUGCACCCAAUUUAUAUAUUACGAUAUAUUUUGUGUAUAAAUGCCUGGCAUUCAUUUUUUAGCAUUUACUAUUUAUAUUUUUUGUUUUUUUAUUAGAUGCAGAUUGAACGGUGAGAAGCCAUAAAUAAAAUUGCACACAAUGUGAAAGGUAUUCUAUAUGAAGAAGGUGAUGAGGAAAACUUAAAAUUUUUACCAAAGAGGGUUGAUACAUUGUGUAAGCAGGUGAUCUUUAUGCCUAUCAAAUAUAAGUAGGAUGGAAAAAAGUAAGAAAGUGAGCAAGUAAAUUGGUUAAGAUGGAGAUGUUGUCUUUUCCACACUUUUAUAAAAAAAAAUUACUUUUAGUAGCCAGUCGCUUUUAUGAGUCAAUGGUACAAUCUUUUUUGAUCCCCAAUCACGAGAAGGUAUCUGCAGGUUGUUCUACCAUGAUAAUAGAGACGACAACGGUCUAUUGCUUGCUUUAAAGUCAAUGGUAUAGUUUUUUUAUCCCCAUUUUGCCCUUACAAUGUUUUAUACAUUAUAUGUCAUUAAAUUGGACGCUUUAACGGUAUUUUGAGUUUCAGGUGUCAAAAGUCUUUCUUUGAAGAUGUGUCCGACAACAAGUUAUGCAGCAAAACCGUACUUGUGAAGGUUGUUGGUGUCAUGGAUGCAAAUCCAGACACUGUUUUUGAGGUGUUUUUGAACGUUGAUAAACAUAGAAGAUAUGAGUAUGUUGGAUACUGUUUUUGAGGUGUUUUUGAACAUUGAUAAACAUAGAAGAUAUGAGUAUGUUGAUAAAUUUAUGUGUUUUUUGGGAUAUAAAAUCUUUUUUGUGUUUACUAAAAAAUUAGAUUUUCAGGUGGGAUGCAUUCACUACUGAUUUAAAACUUCCAGAUAUUUUUAAGUGGCCAUUCUGAUGUUGGUUAUGGAUGGGUCUUAUGAUUCCAAAUGCUUAACUAGGGAGGAACCCCAGGUGUUUGAUGGAAUGUCGCAGACAAAAAGGCGAAUUCCUGCUAAGCAAACCCAAUUUAACAAACCUCAACAAAUAUUGAAAUCGAUUUGUUGAUGCCGAAGCAGGUAUGUGUGUGGAUAAUUAGGUCCUUUAAAAUUGAAUUUGUAAUUUAUAGAACUUCAUAUACUGAUUUUGACACUUUUCAUUAUGUAUUGGUUUUGGAUUAUGUUUGGGUCUUUCGCUUCUCAAGAAUUUGUGCUUAUGGCACCAUAUUUGUUCAUAUGUCGAGUUUUUGUUGGGUUGUUUGUAUCUCAGAUUGUAAUUGACUUCAUUUCAAAGUCACCGUGCUUAGGAUUGCAGUUUGUUGAUAGGUCGAUACAGGUAUUGGAACAAUUUGGAAUGGUAUUAUAAUUUUGAUUACAUGUUGAAACAUUUUCCUACCAGCCGUUUGUUAAAAGUUUUUACUGAAUUCUCAUAUUUUUUAUGUGGUCUCUAACUAAUACCGAUCAUCUAUUUGUUUAUGAGAUUUGGUCAAACAAACAAAUCAAAGAAUGAAACAUUCGUUUUUGUUUUUGAAUCACAUGUACACUUCAACAAUCAAUGGGAAAUAUUCUUCAACAAUAAGGGCGGAUCUGUCCAACAAAUACUCUUCAAACAUUGGUUUUACACUGCAACAAUGUAGGAAAUGAAUCCUUUCAGAAUGAUAAGCAUAUAGAAGCAGUAGAUCAUUA